GAGCGUCAGCGAGAAAGCGUUGCCGCAGGCAACGACCCGAAGGGCAAAGCGCGCAGCGCUGAGUCAUCCUUCCCCCACCACCA
rnacentral:sRNA from 1 species